GCUCAUCAUAUAUUUACAGUAGGAAUAGACGUUGAUACACGAGCUUACUUUACUUCAGCUACUAUAAUUAUUGCUGUACCAACUGGAAUUAAGAUUUUUAGUUGAUUAGCAACUCUUUAUGGAACUCAAUUAAACUAUUCUCCUGCUACUUUAUGAGCUUUAGGAUUUGUAUUUUUAUUUACUGUAGGAGGUUUAACUGGAGUUGUUUUAGCUAACUCUUCAGUUGAUAUUAUUUUACAUGAUACAUACUAUGUAGUAGCUCACUUCCAUUAUGUUUUAUCAAUAGGAGCUGUAUUUGCUAUUAUAGCAGGAUUUGUUCACUGAUACCCUUUAUUCACAGGAUUAACUUUAAAUACUAAGAUAUUAAAAAGUCAAUUUGCUAUUAUAUUUAUUGGGGUAAAUUUAACAUUCUUCCCUCAACAUUUCUUAGGAUUAGCAGGAAUACCACGACGAUAUUCAGACUACCCAGAUGCUUACACAACUUGAAAUGUAAUUUCUACAAUUGGGUCAACAAUUUCUUUAUUAGGAAUUUUAUUUUUCUUCUUUAUUAUUUGAGAAAGUCUUGUAUCUCAACGUCAAGUUUUAUUCCCUGUUCAAUUAAAUUCAUCAAUUGAAUGAUUACAAAAUACUCCACCAGCUGAACAUAGUUAUUCUGAAUUACCUUUAUUAACUAAUUUCUAAUAUGGCAGAUUAGUGCAAUGGAUUUAAGCUCCAUAUAUAAAGUAUUUUACUUUUAUUAGAAUAAUAAAUGUCAACAUGAGCAAAUUUAGGUUUACAAGAUAGUUCUUCUCCUUUAAUAGAACAAUUAAUCUUUUUCCAUGAUCACGCACUUUUAAUUUUAGUAAUAAUUACUGUCCUUGUAGAAUACUUAAUGUUUAUAUUAUUUUUUAACAAAUAUGUAAAUCGAUAUUUAUUACACGGACAAACUAUUGAAAUUAUUUGAACAAUUUUACCUGCAAUUAUUUUAUUAUUUAUUGCUUUCCCUUCUCUUCGACUUUUAUAUUUACUUGAUGAAAUUAAUGAACCUUCAAUUACUUUAAAGGCAAUUGGUCAUCAAUGAUAUUGAAGUUAUGAAUAUUCAGAUUUUGCAAAUAUUGAAUUUGAUUCAUAUAUAAUUCCUACUAACGAAUUAUCAAUUGAUAGUUUUCGUUUAUUAGAUGUAGAUAAUCGAGUAGUUUUACCAAUAAAUUCUCAAGUUCGAAUUUUAGUAACUGCCGCUGAUGUAAUUCAUUCUUGAACUAUCCCAGCACUAGGAGUAAAGGUAGAUGGAACUCCUGGUCGACUAAAUCAAACAAAUUUUUUAAUUAACCGACCAGGUUUAUUUUACGGACAAUGUUCAGAAAUUUGCGGAGCUAAUCAUAGUUUUAUACCAAUUGUAAUUGAAAGAAUUCCAGUAAAUUACUUUAUUAAGUGAAUUUCUAAUAAUAUAAAUUCUU